rnacentral:rRNA from 1 species
UAAUACGGAGGGUGCGAGCGUUAAUCGGAAUUACUGGGCGUAAAGCGUGCGUAGGUGGCUUAGUAAGUCGGAUGUGAAAGCCCUGGGCUCAACCUGAGAACUGCAUUCGAUACUGCUAGGCUAGAGUAUGGUAGAGGGAAGUGGAAUUUCCGGUGUAGCGGUGAAAUGCGUAGAUAUCGGAAGGAACACCAGUGGCGAAGGCGGCUUCCUGGACCAAUACUGACACUGAGGUACGAAAGCGUGGGGAGCAAACGGGAUUAGAUACCCUGGUAGUCCACGCCCUAAACGAUGUCAACUAGCCGUUGGGGGAAUUUAAUCCUUUAGUGGCGCAGCUAACGCGUUAAGUUGACCGCCUGGGGAGUACGAUCGCAAGAUUA